rnacentral:rRNA from 1 species
CCUACGGGUGGCUGCAGUGGGGAAUAUUGCACAAUGGGGGAAACCCUGAUGCAGCAACGCCGCGUGAGUGAAGAAGGCCUUCGGAUUGUAAAGCUCUGUUAGCAGGGAAGAGGAAGGACGGUACCUGCAGCGGCAGCCACGGCUAACUACGUGCCAGCAGCUGCGGCAAUACGUAGGUGGCAGGAGUUGUUCGGAAUACCUGGGCGUAAAGGAUGUGUAGGCGGUUAAACAAGUUAAGGGUUAAAUAUAUAGGCUUAACCUGUAGAAAGCAUUUGAAACUGUUGUACUAGAGUGCAGGAGAGGUAAGUGGAAUGCGUGGUGUAGCGGUGAAAUGCAUAGAGAUUAGGAAGAACACCGAUGGCGAAGGCGACUUACUGGACUGCAACUGACGCUGAGGCAUGAGAGCGUGGGGAGCAAACAGGAUUAGAUACCCUGGUAGUC